AGUGGAAUUGCUGGAUCACUUGGUAAUUCUAUGUUUUACUUUUUGAGAAACUGUCAAACUAUUUACCACAGUGGCUGAACCAUUUUACAUUCCCACCAGCAAU
rnacentral:pre_miRNA from 1 species